rnacentral:tRNA from 3 species
GGCUAGGUGGCGGAGUGGUUAACGCGGUAGACUAGAAAUCUACUUCCUUCGGGAGCGUCUGUUCGAAUCAGGCCCUAGUCG